CGUAGGGCGCGAGCGUUAUCCGGAAUUAUUGGGCGUAAAGAGCUCGUAGGCGGUUUGUCGCGUCUGCCGUGAAAGUCCGGGGCUUAACCCCGGAUCUGCGGUGGGUACGGGCAGACUAGAGUGCAGUAGGGGAGACUGGAAUUCCUGGUGUAGCGGUGAAAUGCGCAGAUAUCAGGAGGAACACCGAUGGCGAAGGCAGGUCUCUGGGCUGUAACUGACGCUGAGGAGCGAAAGCAUGGGGGGAGCGAACAGGAUU
rnacentral:rRNA from 1 species